AAAAGAGAACCACGGAGGGACGACAGGAAUAGUGCAAGCUAUCAGGACAAGGCCAUCUUUUUCCAAAGUGACCGCUGUUGAGCUUUCUGGGGGGAAAGGAGCCCCUAAAGGUCUCAGCCCUUACCUGAGAACACCAGUGCCAGAGCCACAGUCAAAGCGGAACUCCACGUGGCCCCCUGCCAUGUUGAUGGACACAAAGUCUUUGCUGCCCGUGUCGUAGCUGUAGAGGAGGACACCAUCACCCGAGUCCGGCCGAAAUGUGAUCUCAAACUCCAUGAAGGAAAGGUAAUGCUGGGGCUCCAGAGGCCAGGGUGUUGCAGCAUAGGAUCUCAGGGACUCUCUGAAUUGAGGGAUGGUCAGGGUGAAAGCUGAAGAAAGAAGCGUGCUGUUAGAAAUCCCUCUGUGGCAGAACUAGCCAUGUUCUCUUCCUCCUGGGUACGGAGCUGACCUACAUUUCCCAGCUGCCCUGAGUGAAUUGGGUAGUAUAACUGAAUUCCGGUCAGUGGACUGUGGGUGGGAGUAUUAUACGCAUCCCAGGUCUGACCCCUAAAACUUCCUACCAUCUUCCAUGCACCCUCUCGUCCCUCACCUGCUAGCUGAAUGCAGGAAGCAGGGGAGGAUUCUAAGGGCCUGGCAGAGCCCUAGAAGGCAGGGGCCUGUGUCCCUGAAUGACUGCAUGGCACAGAGGCCACCCCCACCCAAACUCCUCACUGAUCUGCAGUGAUGUGUGACGUGAGCAAGGAUCGAGCCUUAUUAUGUUAGGCUACAAAAUAUGAGAUGAUAUGUAACAGCUUUGACUUACAGGAACUCACACGCCCUCUUCUAGGUGAUCUGAGAUCUGAGAUUAUUCAGUGCUAAAGAAAAAAAACCCCCAGGAUGGUGUCUUAGGUCCAAAUUUGAAUCAAUGGUAGAAAAGUUAAAACAUGUUCAACUUGGGCCACCUGGGGGGCGCUCAUUGGUUAAGCAUCCAGCUCUUGAUUUCGGUUCAGGUCAAGAUCUCACUGUGGUGAGAUCGAGCCCCACAUCAGGCUCAGUGCUGGGCAUGGAGCCUGCUUGGGAUUCUCUCUCCCUCCGGUCCUCCCACACUUGCACGCGCUCUCUCUCUCUCUCCUCUCAAAAAAAGUGUCCAACUCCACACGUUUGCCAAAAUCUUUGAAAUCUUUGAAAUUUCCCCUGAUUCUGUGUGUUUGCGUAUGCACAUGUGUUUACGCGUAUAUAUACCCACGUAUUGAGACAGGUAUAGUAUCGAGAGGUGGACAAUUCACUAGAACAGUAACAAAAAGAAGAAAGAUUACUCUUGUGCCUUCCCAUUGUUAACGACUCUGUGUGUCUCUUCCCCACAUUUUGGGGAACUUGUCAGACAUUCUCAGAAGCAUGAGCUGCAGAUGCUCUGAAUUCAGUCUGAUACAGACCACACGCAUAAAGGCUUUUCAAAGUUACUUGAGGGCCAAAAGGAGCCCACCAAAGCCUGGCCCAGAAGCAUCUUAAAAUGAACCUAUCUUUGGUUGGCUUGACACUCUGACACUCAAAGGCACUCCAAUCUGAUAAAAAAGCAAAACAAAACAGAUUCUCCCAUCUCUCCCAACAAUGUAUAGACUUUAAUCCCAUAAACAUUUAUGGGACUUGCUAAGAGCACGCUGAUGAAAAAUUACAUCGACAUGAAUUAACAGGGCAGGCAAAGUGCAGCCAACUUGCUUCUUUCUCACCAUCUUCACAGUGUCGACCUUUAAACCCAAGGGGACACAGGCAAAUGUAGGCGUCGG
rnacentral:lncRNA from 1 species